UACGUAGGAUGCAAGCGUUGUCCGGAAUUAUUGGGCGUAAAGAGCGAGCAGGCGGCUUGUCAAGUCAGAUGUGAAAUAUCCCGGCUUAACCGGGAGGGGUCAUUUGAAACUGGCAGGCUAGAGUACAGAAGAGGUUCGUGGAAUUCCCGGUGUAGUGGUGAAAUGCGUAGAUAUCGGGAGGAACACCAGUGGCGAAGGCGGCGAACUGGUCUGUAACUGACGCUGAGGCGCGAAGGCUAGGGGAGCAAACAG
rnacentral:rRNA from 1 species